rnacentral:rRNA from 1 species
CCUACGGGAGGCAGCAGUGGGGAAUUUUGGACAAUGGGCGAAAGCCUGAUCCAGCAAUGCCGCGUGAGUGAAGAAGGCCUUCGGGUUGUAAAGCUCUUUUGUCAGGGAAGAAACGGUGAAAGCUAAUAUCUUUUGCUAAUGACGGUACCUGAAGAAUAAGCACCGGCUAACUACGUGCCAGCAGCCGCGGUAAUACGUAGGGUGCAAGCGUUAAUCGGAAUUACUGGGCGUAAAGCGUGCGCAGGCGGUUUUGUAAGUCUGAUGUGAAAUCCCCGGGCUCAACCUGGGAAUUGCAUUGGAGACUGCAAGGCUAGAAUCUGGCAGAGGGGGGUAGAAUUCCACGUGUAGCAGUGAAAUGCGUAGAUAUGUGGAGGAACACCGAUGGCGAAGGCAGCCCCCUGGGUCAAGAUUGACGCUCAUGCACGAAAGCGUGGGGAGCAAACAGGAUUAGAUACCCUGGUAGUCCACGCCCUAAACGAUGUCUACUAGUUGUCGGGUCUUAAUUGACUUGGUAACGCAGCUAACGCGUGAAGUAGGCCGCCUGGGGAGUACGGUCGCAAGAUUAAAACUCAAAUGAAUUGACGG